UCCGGCCCCCGGGCCUUAGUUUGGGGACCCCUGUUCUAAGGCAUCAAAUAGUUGCUUAUGUAUAAAGCAACCUUGUGUCCCCUUCAGGGUUGAGAACAGCGGGGCAUAAAUAUGGUAAAUAAAUAAAUACCAAGAAGAGCCAAUGCAUGCUAUCGCCUUCAUGUCCUGUUCUUGUGUUUUCUAUAGGCAUCUAGUAGCCACUUUAGGAAAUAAGAUGCUCUACUAUAUAUGGCUCUGACCUAUCCCUGCUUUACCAAUGGCAGGUUACCUUUGUGCCUUAAACCCUGACUGAGAUGUGAAAGAAGGUGGCAUUUGUAAUUUGACUCCGUUGGUUAGUGUUCUUGUCUCUGGAACAGCAGAAAACAAGAUUACAGCAUCUUCCACAUUAUAUCCCUUCAGACAUUAAAGAUAGCCAUCUUAUCGCUUCUCAGUCACCUCAAUGGUAUAUGCACCCAGUUCCCUAAGCCAUUCCCACACCUUUGACCAUCUCAGUUGUUCUCCCCUGAACAUGUUCCAGCUUGUCAGUAUCCAGUUACUGACAAGCUGGAACUAUCCAGAUAACAUCUGAUCAAGCUGAAAAAAGUAGCACUGUUACUUCCCUCCAUCUGUUGCCCUUUUUGGCUGCUACAUCACACUAUCGCAAUGGUUCUCAACCUGUGGGUCCCCUGGUGUUUUGGCCUACAACUCCCAGAAAUUCCAGCCAGUUUACCAGCUGUUAGGAUUUCUGGGAUUUCUGAGAGUUGAAGGCUAAAACAUCUGGGGACCCACAGGUUGAGAACCACUGCACUACUGACUCGUGCUUGUGAUCUUCUCAGACUCCUAGAUCCUUUUCUACCAUGAAGAAAGGUGCCAUAAAAUCUUAUAAUUGUGCAUUUAAUUUUUCCUAUCAAAAUGUACUACCUUACAUUGAUAUAUGUUAAAGAUAAUUUUGUUAGCUAUUCAAUGUGUAAAGGUCAUUUUCAAUUGUAAUCCUGUCCUCUGGGAUAUUAGCUUCACCUCCUAAUUUGGCAUCAUCAACACAUUUUUCAUCACCCAAAUCACUUAUAAACAUGUCAAACACUACUGAACCCAGGACAGAGUGCUAUGGACUCCAGUAGUCACUUUGAUAGACUAAAGAGCAGCCACUGCUGAACACACUCUGUCCAUCAUCCAGUUAUAAAUUCACCUAACGUCAGCACUUAACCCACAUUUUAGCAGCUUGUCUGUGAGAAUUUCACAACUUUUCCUUGUCAUUUCAUAAGAUCUAUUGCUUUUUUAAAAAAAUGAAAUUUCUCAGGUAAUUUAUGAGCACAGCUGCUUCCUUGCUCCAGCAAUUGUAUCAAACCCACACUGCUAAAAGUGAUCAGGACAGCUAUCUUUCAAAAGCAACACAUAUACCCUGCUGUAAGAUUUUGUUGUGUAAGAUUUUUGCACAAGGUUUUUGUUGAACAAUUUUUUGUCACACAAGAUGUCUGCUUUUUAUAUAGAAAAAUGGCAAUCUGACUGGAAACAUAGUUUUUUAAUACACAGUCCUACAGUUCUAAUUAAAAAAUAUAUAUCUUUCUGCACAGAAUUAUUUCCUGAAAUACUCCAGUUUUUUAGUCAUGGGAAGAAAACUGGAAAUUAUUAGUCUUAAUGUGCGAGGACAGAAAGGUUGAAUAUUACCAUCCCUAAAAGGAGACUCUCUUCUUAGACUUGAUCAAGAGCGGCAGAAGUUACCUCUAGACUGGACUAUUGCAAUGCGCUCUACGUGGGGCUGCCUUGAAGAUGGCCUGUAAACUUCAACUGGUCCAAUGUUCUGCAGCCAGACUACUAACUGGAGCAAAUUACAGGGAGCAGUCAAUCCCUCUGUUUAAGGAGCUCCACUGGCUGCCGUUCAUCUUCCGGGCCCAAUUCAAAGUCUCUCUCUCUCUUGAACCCAACCCUUCCUUCUGGUUUCCUCAUUCACUGGGCUAAACCUGUAAUCAUAGGAGCUACAGAAGCAAACUGAAGUGAAUUGUGUCUCCAGGGAUCUGGUUUGCUAUGAGCUUGACCUUCCAUGUGCAGCUCCCAUCCUAUCCAGUUGAGUAUUUCAUUGCCUCUUAAAUGAUGUUAUGUAAUACAAAUACAACCAUUUGGGGGCUAUAUCUGAAUGAGUUUGGUGCUUACAUGUCUUCACUGGAUGAACUUACUACAUUGUAUCUUACACAAUCCGACUCUUGCUUUCAUACAGUGCAUUUUAGUUCCACUGUAGUCAAAUGAGUGCAUUGCACCAAGGCAAGUACUUUUUAAAGAGGAUAAAUGGUGCCGGUUGCUAGAUUUUCUUUUGAAUUGAGGAAAUAUAAGUCACACAUUGAAAUAAAAGUGUGCUGCUGGAGUUGGGAGAGCAAUUAGGGAAUGAAAAAGAAAAUAGUGGAUGGAUAAAUAAGUGAGGUGGCACUGGGAGAUCUGAAAUUGAGAAAAAAAACAGAUGUUGCAUGUCAUUAUAAAUGACACAAACAUCUGCAUAUUAUAAACUGCAGAAUCAUUUGGAAAGUUUGGGGGAGUUUCACUUCAUUUUAGCAUCAUUAGAACUUGCUUCUGUUUGAGUUUAUUGAAGCAGCCACUUUAAUGGCAAAGGGAUAAUUUGAUUUGCAAAGUGGGUAUAAUCAGAUGCAUGUGGCAAGCUAUUUGCAAUGCGGCAGCUGAACAGGCUCAUAAAGAUAUGCUCCAAUGAUGAUGAAAUGAAAGGAAGAAGAAUGCAAGCAGCAGCAUCAGAUCUGGAAAAUAUCAAGAUCAGAUAAAAGCGACAAUGGGGAAGAACUAAGCCUUCAUGUCAGAGCACCAAAUUAAAACAAGCAACAGACAAUGGAAGGAUAACAGUGUAUCUCAGAAGUGGGAGCAGCAUGUAAGCCAAAAUAAAUAAAUAAAUCACAUACCACCACAAUAAUGUGCAAAAGGGCUCAUGAAAGAAAAUCCCAACAUGGUCUUGUUCAGCCAAUUGAUUUACAAAUAAUAGAGAAACCAGGAGAUGAUGGGCAUUUCUUAAAGUAACCUGAAUCAUCCACCCGAAGGUCAGAAACAUGGAAAUAAGGCACAAAGCAGAAUUGAAGAGCAGAAAAAAUGGCAGCAUUCAGGAUACCUUGCAGCCAAGGGUCUAACUCUACGCCAAAGAAUGGUAUUGCCACUCAAUUCUCUUGCUUUUGUAAUUUUCCUUCAGUAUCCCAGUUUCUAAUAUAUCAAAGAAAGAUACUAAAAACAAUUCACACCUUAUAUUUGAUGUGAACAUAUUCCUUUGGUAACUUUUGUCUUCCUCCUUUUUUAGAUGUCUCAAAUGUAUUUCUAAAGGUUCAACUGAAAUUUUAAGUUAUUGUAAUGUGAGAAAUUUGGGAACUGAAGAAAAAUUAGAUCGAGGGAGAGGUUAUGUUCUCACCUUCCUCACCCUGCCUCCAACAAUAUUCCUGCUUGUAGUUCCAGAAAAUCCACUCUUUUUGAUGGUUCAGCCAGCUUGGGCACAGAAGUGAAUGUUCAAAAGAAUUG